GAUGAACGCUGGCGGCGUGCUUAACACAUGCAAGCCGAACGGUAAGGCCCUUCGGGGUACACGAGCGGCGAACGGGUGAGUAACACGUGGGUGAUCUGCCCUGCACUUCGGGAUAAGCCUGGGAAACUGGGUCUAAUACCGGAUAGGACCCUGGGAUGCAUGUCCUGGGGUGGAAAGCUUUUGCGGUGUGGGAUGGGCCCGCGGCCUAUCAGCUUGUUGGUGGGGUGAUGGCCUACCAAGGCGACGACGGGUAGCCGGCCUGAGAGGGUGACCGGCCACACUGGGACUGAGAUACGGCCCAGACUCCUACGGGAGGCGGCAGUGGGGAAUAUUGCACAAUGGGCGCAAGCCUGAUGCAGCGACGCCGCGUGAGGGAUGACGGCCUUCGGGUUGUAAACCUCUUUCAGCACCGACGAAGCGCAAGUGACGGUAGGUGCAGAAGAAGGACCGGCCAACUACGUGCCAGCAGCCGCCGCCG
rnacentral:rRNA from 1 species